GACGAACGCUGGCGGCGUGCCUAACACAUGCAAGUCGAACGGAAACGCCCUGCUUGCAUGCUCCUCGAGUGGCGAACGGGCGAGUAACACGUGGGUGAACCGCCCUGCACUUCUUCGUAAGCCUUGAAAACGGGGACCAAUACCUGAUAUCACCUUCCACGUAGGGUGGGGGGCGGAAGGACUUCGCGGUGUGCGCUGGUCGAGCGGCCUAUCACCUUGUUGGUGGGGUACUGGCCUACCAAGGAGCCGACGGAUAGGCGGCCUGAGAGGGUGGACGGCCACAUUGGGACUGAGGGACGGAGCAGAGGGCUACGGGGGGCAGCAGGGGGGAAUAUUGCACAGUGGGCGGGAGCCGUAGGAGGCGGCGCCGGGUGGGUGAUGGCGGCCUUCGGGUUGUGAACAUCUGUCGACAGGGACGAAGCUUCGGUGACGGUACCUGAAUAAGAAGCACCGGCUAACUACGUG
rnacentral:rRNA from 1 species